AACGAACGCUGGCGGCAGGCCUAACACAUGCAAGUCGAACGCUCCGCAAGGGGAGUGGCGCACGGGUGAGUAACACGUGGGAACCUACCUUCUGGUACGGAACAACCAAGGGAAACUUUGGCUAAGACCGUAUACGACCUCCGGGUGAAAGAUUGAUCGCCGGAAGAGGGGCCCGCGUCCGAUUAGGUAGUUGGUGAGGUAACGGCUCACCAAGCCUUCGAUCGGUAGCUGGUCUGAGAGGAUGACCAGCCACACUGGGACUGAGACACGGCCCACGACUCCUACGGGAGGCAGCAGUGGGGAAUAUUGGACAAUGGGCGCAAGCCUGAUCCAGCCAUGCCGCGUGAGUGAUGAAGGCCUUCGGUUGUU
rnacentral:rRNA from 1 species